rnacentral:misc_RNA from 1 species
UUGGCCGUCUGUUUGUGGAUGAAAACUGGUGGAGACAUUUAAUCGAGUCCCCAAGAGGCGAAACAAUUCUGACCAGAAGGAGCCUAUGAAUCGGCCAUCUCGAUCGCUAAUAAUGCUCUUUGGGAUCCCCCAGUAUUUCACAAUAUUUUUGAAGAAGGCACGGGCCGUAUCCUCAGCUGAACAGUAUCUUGACAUCGGCACAAAAGUUCCAUAUUUUGAGAAUCUAUCAAUUAUCACCAAGAUAUGGUCAUAUUCCCCCACUCUUGGCAACCUAGCAACGAAGUCUAGAGAAACACUUUCCCAUGGUCUACUUAGUACUGAUAAUGAUUAUAACAAUCCUACAAGUUUUUGCCGUUCCAUCUUAUCUUGCUGACACACUAGACAAGUUUUUGUAUACUCUCUCACAUCAUCUUCCAUUUGAGGCCAAUGAUAACCAUAUUUUAACAAAGCUAGUGUGCGUUGCCAGCCUAGGUGACCCAUUCAUAAACUGUCAUGGCAUUCUUAAAGUAAUAGUUUCCUUAAGUUUCCCCAUUUUGGAACAUACACUCUAUUUUUUCGAGUCAUUAGAAGAUUGUCCUCUUGCCAAAACUGUCUAGUCUUUCACUCUUCUGCUAACUUCAUUAGACCCAUGGCUUGGGGGGUCAUUCUUCAGGUUGUCUCGAAUUUAUUCUCGCAAUGCAGUAGCUGCCCUAUUACUUGAAAAUUGUGUUGUCUGUUAAUAAGUUGACACAUUUGACUUCCUACUUAAAGCAUUUACAA